GGCCAUGCAUGGUCUAAGUAUAAGCAAUUUAUUACAGUGAAACUGCGAAUGGCUCAUUAAAUCAGUUAUCGUUUAUUUGAUAGUCCUUACUACAUGGUAUAACUGUGGUAAUUCUAGAGCUAAUACAUGCUUAAAAUCUCGAUCCUUUGGAAGAGAUGUAUUUAUUAGAUAAAAAAUCAAUGUCUUCGGACUCUUUGAUGAUUCAUAAUAACUUUUCGAAUCGCAUGGCCUUGUGCUGGCGAUGGUUCAUUCAAAUUUCUGCCCUAUCAACUUUCGAUGGUAGGAUAGUGGCCUACCAUGGUUUCAACGGGUAACGGGGAAUAAGGGUUCGAUUCCGGAGAGGGAGCCUGAGAAACGGCUACCACAUCCAAGGAAGGCAGCAGGCGCGCAAAUUACCCAAUCCUAAUUCAGGGAGGUAGUGACAAUAAAUAACGAUACAGGGCCCAUUCGGGUCUUGUAAUUGGAAUGAGUACAAUGUAAAUACCUUAACGAGGAACAAUUGGAGGGCAAGUCUGGUGCCAGCAGCCGCGGUAAUUCCAGCUCCAAUAGCGUAUAUUAAAGUUGUUGCAGUUAAAAAGCUCGUAGUUGAACUUUGGGCCCGGUUGGCCGGUCCGAUUUUUUCGUGUACUGGAUUUCCAACGGGGCCUUUCCUUCUGGCUAACCUUGAGUCCUUGUGGCUCUUGGCGAACCAGGACUUUUACUUUGAAAAAAUUAGAGUGUUCAAAGCAGGCGUAUUGCUCGAAUAUAUUAGCAUGGAAUAAUAGAAUAGGACGUUUGGUUCUAUUUUGUUGGUUUCUAGGACCAUCGUAAUGAUUAAUAGGGACGGUCGGGGGCAUCAGUAUUCAAUUGUCAGAGGUGAAAUUCUUGGAUUUAUUGAAGACUAACUACUGCGAAAGCAUUUGCCAAGGACGUUUUCAUUAAUCAAGGACGAAAGUUAGGGGAUCGAAGAUGAUCAGAUACCGUCGUAGUCUUAACCAUAAACUAUGCCGACUAGGGAUCA
rnacentral:rRNA from 1 species